rfam:Anaerovibrio sp. JC8 JC8_004, whole genome shotgun sequence.
UCUAUAAUAAAGCCUAAUCCAGCCCAUGGAGCGGGGGAACCAAAUUUUUGGGGUGAAUGAAAAUCAGCUGUUGCAGCAAGGAUGCUGCAUAAGUGGAUCUUAAAGGGUAGUCUUUCUCAACCCUAACCCGACAGCUAACCUCGUAGGCGCAUAGAGAGAGGAGUG